AACAGACUAAGGCACCUAGUUUGUAUGAGCCUUUGCAGUGGGUCUCAGGUUCAGAACAGGUCUUGUUUUGAUAAUUAAAUUAAGGUUGACCUGUGACAACUUUGGAAAAUAGGGGAGGCAAGAACAUUACACCCAUUUUAUAGAGAAAAACACUUGAGACACAGACAGGUGAGGUGGGAUCCUUGCAGAUGAAGUAGGAACUGUGACUCUCCAAUUUUAGUAGCUUGAUAGCUGUGCCACAUUACCUCUUCCCAGACAGACAUUAAGUCCAGCUUUAAACUUAAUUUUCUAAAAUGCACAAAUCUUUAAGACAUUCGUUACAUUUCCAAGGCAUGGACCACGUGCCAUGCAUUUUCUUGUGUCCCUCUCUGUUCCAUGUCCACUGAGAGCUGGUAGUAUUUUACAUCUGUUUAACUCUUAAGAGUUUAAAGAGUCCUUUCUUCUUCCCAACAGCCUUAGAGUAGGCUGGGCAGUAUUUUGUCCCUCACAGAUGGACAGCGGUGAGUGGCCAGGCUCUCACAUGCCUAGUUCAGGAGCAGCAGCCAAGUUCUCUCAUUUUUAAGUCGAACCAGCCUCCAGAUUCGUCAGACUGCCUCUUCCCCAGAGGGUUGGGGAAACAGAAGCAACUGCCUACAGCAAAUAUGCUGCGGCUUCCUCCACAGACACAGCGUUCCAGGAGUGCAUGGCUCCAUGGAAACCGAGAGGAGAGAGUGUGUACAUGGUGUUUCUUCUAGGUCUACUCCAGUUCUCAUGAGAAGCCGAGGAGCCCCUGCAUAUUUUAUGAUUCCUGCUUUUCUCUGGGAGCAGCUGCUCUUUUGAUGCACAUUUACCGAGCACCUCUUUCUUACCAAGCCCUGUUCUAGGCCGGGGGAUACCCAAGAAGCAAGCCAGAUGUUGUUCCAGUCCUCAGCAGAAGCAGAAAGCUUGCUUAAAAUGAUGACUCCUAGAGCUAGUUAGUUCUAUGACUAAUUCUAAGAAUGCCCUAGUAAAUAUUUAUUUUAAUAAACAAAUGUUUAAA
rnacentral:lncRNA from 1 species